ACCACAAACCAAAACAAAUUGGACAACUUACACAAUACAAUUAGUUCUAAUCAUAUUUUAAUGUAUAUAACAACAGAAGAUAUGUAGUUCAACAAUAGUCCCAUGCUUGAGAGUUCCUUCAUGAAACAAAAAACAAAAUUUUCUUGGUUGAGAAAAUGAAACUUUUAAAGCAGUCUUUUUUUUUCAUUAAGACUAAAAAAAUCUGCAGUACCUCAAUUUGUAAACAAAAUAGAAGAACUUCAAAUUUAGAUUUCAAUGAUUUAUCUAUGUAUUAAAAUGCUAACAGUCAUAAGAGUUUACUAUAUCAAUGUCAGAGAGUGGGGAAUGUAAAAUAUUUUACUCACAAUAAUACACGUGCUCAAAGGAAACAUGUUAAUUUUGCUCCACCAUCUUCUUAGUUACCAUCCUUUGAACUCAAACCUGCAAUCUUAGACAAUGAGGGUGUCAAAAAAUAGCACUUAACAUUGUAAAACAUUAAUAUGAGGUUAGUCUAAUUCUCUUGGAAAUUCAAGCUCUAGUCUUGGAAAAAAUAGCUAAA
rnacentral:lncRNA from 1 species